rnacentral:rRNA from 1 species
AUGGAUGCAUUCUCUGAGCUGGGGUCAAAUGAUCCGGAGUUUUUGUACGUUGUUGAGGUUGAUAAGGAAAGCAAGAUAAAAACCCUAUUGUGGACCAAUGGUAGAAGUAAGAUGCAAUACCACGAUUUUGGGGAUGUCAUAACAUUCGACACUACAUACAAGACAAAUCUGUACAACAUGCCUUUCGGGUUGUUCGUGGGGGUGAACAAUCACUUCCAGAAUAUCAUCAUGGGCGGGGUCAUAAUGAGAGAGGAAACGAUCGAGAGUUUCAAAUGGGUAUUCACCGAUUCAUCCGGCUGA